UUUUGGCAGAUGCUCUUUCCAUGGGAUUCCACGGUAAGAGACAGGCAAACCCCGAAGUGGAUUGGAGGGGAAAGAGCCUGGCAUUUAAAGAGCAACAAACGCAAUGGGAGAUAAGCAAAAUAGCAGAAGAAGAGAGCGAGGGAGAUGAAGCGGGGGAAAUAGACCAAGAACUAUUGCCCCCUGAAUACAGGGACUUUGUGGAUGUGUUCAAUCAGAAAGAGGCAAGUAAAUUACCUCCCAAAAGGAAUAUAGAAGUAGAAAUCAAAAUAGCCCUAGGAGCAAACUUACCAAAACCAAAAGUGUAUCCCAUGUCUGUUCAGGAGAAGGAGGAAUUGAGGAAAUACAUUGAUAAGAAUCUGGCGCGAGGCUUCAUUAAGCCGUCCAGCUCCCCUUUGGGAGCCCCAGUGUUAUUUAGGAGAAAGAAAGACAACUCUUUAAGACUGUGCAUUGACUAUCGAAAUUUAAAUGCAAUUACUAAGGAUAAUAAAUACCCUAUGCCCUUAGUAAAGGAUCUGAUUACCGUGUUAAAGAAAGGGAGCAUGUUUACCAAACUUGAUUUAAUUGAAGCUUAUCAUAAAUUAAGUUUAGUAAAUAUGCUCCCUUUUUUCAAUACGGUAAUUAAAUCCUUUACUAAGGGCAUAGGGUAUUUAUUGUCCUUAGUAAUUGCAUUCAAAUUUCGAUAAUCAAUGCACAAUCUUAGGGAGUUGUCUUUCUUUCUCCUGAAUAACACUGGGGCCCCGAGAGGAGAAUUGGAUGGCUUAAUGAAGCCCCGCGCCAGGUUUUUAUCAAUGUAUUUCCUCAAUUCCUCCUUCUCCUGCACAGACAUGGGAUACACUUUUGGUUUUGGUAAGUUUGCUCCGGGGGUUAUUUCAAUUUCUACUUCUAUAUUCCUUUUGGGAGGUAAUUUACUUGCCUCUUUCUGAUUGAACACAUCCACAAAGUCUCUGUAUUCAGGUGGCAAUAGCAGUGGGUCUAUUUCACCUUCUUCAUCUCCCUCGUCCUCCUCUUCUGCAAUCUUGCUUAUCUCCCAUUGCGUCUGCUGUUCUUUAAAUGCUAGGCUCUUUCCUCUCCAAUCUACUUCGGGAUUUGCCUGUUCGAGCCAUGGUAUCCCUAAUAUUACGUGGUAUGUGGCAAUAGGGGCUAUCACAAAGGAUAUUCUUCCUUCCCAUUUGCCUAUUUUACAUGGGACCUCCCGUAUUUCCUUUGUAGAUACUUCCCCAGUAGCAACUGAUCCGUCUAGCUGCGAAAAUGCAAUUGGGGAGUCAAGCGCCAUCUGCUGGCAUUUCAACGCUCCUGCUAACUCUGGAGUUAUAAUAUUCCUGGAACACCCACAAUCCACAAAUGCCUUGCAGGUGGCCCGAUUCUCUAGCCCCGAGAGGCAGAUUGGCACUACUAUCAUGCGUUUGUCCCGACUCACCAAUUUUUCUGAAGAUUCUGGGGCUUGCACCUCCUCCUCCGCACGCCUCCCGGUUGCUGGCUUGGGCUUUGAGGGUUUUGGCGGCUCCCCCUUCCGUGCCCAGCAUUCUGCUGCUCGAUGGCCCGUCUUCCCACAUACAAAGCAUCCCGGUUUAGGUUUGUUGUCGUCUCCUCUGGAGGGAAUCCCCGGCCUCCCUCCAGGUCUUUCCUGCUUCCUCGUUUCUCCUCGACCUCUCGCCACCGGUCUUUGCUGGCCGCCGCUGCUCCUGAAGCGCUUUACUUGGGCCAGGGUGGAUUCAACGCGCCCCGCUAGUUGAAUCCAUCCCUGGAGCGUUUCGGGGUCAUCUCUGUGCGCUGCCCAGCUGAAAAUCUCGGGGCGUAGUCCCUCUUUAAAUAACUCCACUUUGGUCACUUCAGACCACUCUGGUACCCUUUCCGCGAGGUGUAGGAAUUCCUCUGCGUACUCGGGCACUGUUUUGUCCCUCUGCUUUAUUCCUUUCAGCUGGUCUCGAGCCCUCAAUUGCUCUAGCCGGUCUCUGAAUCGGUUUUCCAGUGCGGCGAGGAAGCGGGGCACUGACCUCAGGCAUGGGUCGUGUCUGGCAUGGAGUUGCACGUACCAGCUGGCUGCUCCUCGCUUUAGUGUGUUGCCGAUGGCUCGAACCCUGCUUGCUUCGGAGGGGAAUGUGUGUGCAUUGUCUUCCAUGUAUCCUCUGAUGCUAAUUAGAAAAAAGUUCAGUUCAUCUGAUUCCCCUCCGUAUUCCAGUUUGAGAUCUUCUCUUCUUGGCAUCCAUUCUGCGGCCCGUUGAUGCUGUCUGGGAGGCAUGGGGAAGGGUUGCAUCAGGUUUCCUCGGGCGGCUCCUUGGAACACGCCGCGCCCCACUCCGGUGGUCAUUCUGCGCGGCUCCCGAAAGUCUGCCGCCGCUGUCGGCCCUUCCGCCCAUCCGCAUACUGGCCUCGCUGUAGCCCCCUCAUCUCGCCUUUCCUCGUCGUACGGCACAUCCUCCUCCUCUUCCUGGAUCCCCCGCUCCUCUCCGCCUUCGUCUGCAAAUCCACUGGACCCGAUCCCUGGCCCCAGUGGCCUUUCCACCCCGACGCCCAUUCGGGGGGUUGGGAGCUCUGUUGGAGAUGGCGGCCUCAGAGUUCCCAGAGCUCGCUGGCGCUCCACUUCGCGCGCCAUUCUGUCUCGGAACUCCAGCUCCUGCCAGUAUUCCUCGUCUCCCUCGUCCCUUGCCGCUGCGGGACUCUGCGUUGAAGCUCGCUGUUUUUGGAGAUUCUCUUCCAAUAUUGGCACUAUUCUCCCCACGGUAUCCGACAGCCUGGAUAAGUGAGUUUCCAGGAUGGAUAACCGCAGGGCCACGGUCUCCGGCAUGCUUCCUCCAGAUCCCCAACUGGUUUCUGCCGCCGCCGGAACGCCUCUUCCCCCUCUGGGGAUCCUCUGGGUCACGCCGUCCGGCUUGGGGUACCCCGUAGAGGAAGCUAUGGCUUGCAAUGUCUCUUCUGCCAACGGCAGAGCUCCCAGCGGAGGCCCCUUUGCUCCGUCAUGGCUUUGAUCUCCUUCCCUGCUCAUUAUCACUUCACUGCAAAUUUGCAGGAGGGUGAGAACGGGAUUCCUGACUUAAUUGUCCUGCUCACUUCAAAGGAUCAGUCUGAACGCAGAUCAGAGAUGGCUGCUCUCAAAUCCAAUCUUUAUUGAAGAACACAUGACUUUGGAAAAGUCAGGAAUGACCCAAUGUUUACAUACAACUAUUUUUAUAACUUUUGAUGCUACGUAACACCACACGUAAAUAUCAUCAUCAAGUCCCACCCCCAAUAUCACAUUACUACCAUUUUCACACACUAGACCAAUUAUAAUUGUUUAUACUUUCGGCCCCAAGUUCCCAGGCAUAUUCUAUCUUCUUCUGCCAGGUGCUCCUGGGAUUGUUUAUGUUAUGACUCCCAGUUACAGGGCUGAAUUACCAAAGCCCUGUAACUGGGUUCCAUGACAUUUUAGAGGGUUCAUUUACAUCUUGGAAAUGUUAGCCUGCCUUUCCACUCUGAAGAUCGUAGGCAUCGCUGUUUCUAAAAUGUAGAAUUAAUGCCACAAAGCUAUGAAAUCCUGGGAGUUGUAGUUUUGCAGGCAGUGCUGGCACCUUGCUGAACUACAACUCCUGACAUUCCACAACAUUGAGCAAUGGCAGUUAAAGCCAAACUGCAUUCACUCUGCAGUACAGCAAGGGACCCAUUUAAUCCUAACAGUUAGAGACCCAAAGUGCAUGUUCAUGGUGGAAUUAAAAGCACUUCAACUGCCAUGCCUCAAUGCUAUAGAAUGAAGGGAGUUGUGGUUUGGUACAGCACCUCUACUCUUGGUCAGAGAAGGUGAAAAUCUUGGAAAACUACAAAUCCUGUGUUAAACUGCAUUCCUUCAUCAGUGUAGACCAGGCAUGGGCAAACUUGGCCCAUCCCUCUGGGAUUUUUGGACUCCAACUCCCACCAUUCCUAACAGCCUCAGGCCCUUUACUUUCCCUCCUCAGCCACUUAAGUGAUAAUCACAUACAACACAGGCAGAUACUCACACUGAGUCACACAGGAGAGAGGAAGAUGGAUUCUUUCAUCCUCCUUAUAUAUGUAGCCACCUGCUGAUAGGUCAUUAGUGAAGGAUGCUGGCUUAAGCGGCUGAGGGGGGAAAGGGAGAGGCUGUCGCACCUCAGGUUAGUUUCACCUUGCUAAAGGCACCAAGCCACACACAGGAAGUAGUCUUUUGUAGUUUAUUUAGGAAAUAGGCAAAAGAUUGUUCAUCAAAGGGUAAAAGUUCAGUUCCAAAAGAUCGGUACAAAUCCAAGGCUGUAAGCAAUAAGCCCAUAAAAACAUAGAGCAUAUAACAAGGUCAUUUUCAUAGAAGCCAGAAGUCCCAGCAAACAGAAUAUAUCCACAAGAUAUUACAGGAAAGCAAACUUAGCACAGGAAAGCUGACUUGCUUCUAGAUCAGUGAUGGCCAACCUAUGACACGCGUGUCAGCACUGACACGCCUAGCCAUUUUUGCUGACACGCUGCUGCAUGCAGAUUGAUCAGAUGACUAAUGUCUUUUGUGGCCAAAUUUGGUGUGAUUUGGUCCAGUGGUUUUGUUGUUUACUCCAUGGGAAUUAUGCAUAUUACAUUUAUAUAUAUAUUUUAAUAUAUAUAUAUAUAUAUAUAUAUAUAUAUAUAUAUAUAUAUAAUCAUUCUAUUAUUAUUCUAUUAUUAUUGUAGUAUAUUAUUAUAUUAUUAUUAUAUUAAUCAUUAUUCAUGACUACAUUGAAACUACAAUAGAGAGAAAUCAGCGUGGA
ensembl:lncRNA